UGUCUUGACAACAACCGUUAAUUUUACAGCAUCAUUACACAGUUUGUGUUCUUUAUCAGUAUCUUAGAACAAAGAGUAAAGUCAGCUUUGCUGACUAAGCUAUCCAGAUCGACAACUAUUUAUUGAUUUAUUAUUUAUUUACCAGACAUGGGCGUGUUCCUGAACCCUUGUUUGUUUUUGACGGCUGGUGCCACUAGACCAGAAUACUCGAGGCAGAGGGGGAGAGGGAGCGAGGGAGAGAGGCAGGGAAAGGAAGAGAAAAUGAGAGCGGGGGAAACUCCGCACAAGGACGGAGAAAGGGUGGGAGAUAUAUAAAGAGCCAGAAGAUGUUCCUCUUUAUGGAGAGAUGAAGGACGGUUUGUUGGAUGGCUUCAUGGAAAAAAACAUCCUAAGCACUCUGUAAAUAAAGAGAAUUUUUAACUCA